UAUUUGUGCCUGUGGCAGGGUCUUGGUCUUUUGUUUCCUCGUGCUCCUCCUCAGCUCCACAAGAAGACUGGCAUACACACAGGCCUCAGACAGCGCCUCCCAGCACUCCUCCAUGUUCUCCUCCAUCUGCCUCCUGUCCAUUGAUCAGCCUUCCAGGGCAUCAGUCUGUUUAACAUCUGCUACAAGUUCCAGCAGCUCAGGCUUCCAGAGCUCGGAGGAACCGCUGUUGCGCAGUUUAAUUUGCUCUUUUGUAAUGAUGGGGCGUAGGUUAGUUAAUUUCAAUUUUUGAUUUCAAAAGCUAUCAAAUACAGCUCAGAUGAGAAAUCAAUUUUCCCAGCUGCCCUGGCUUUGUGGUGAAAAGGACUCCCGCCAUUGGUGAACAGCCCAUCACAUGACCGAGUCAGGGAUUAGUUCAGUAGGCCCAUGUUGCCACAACCUCAAUUACAGGCUGCCUCUUGUCAUUUACCUCUAUAACAUCUCAUUCUCAGACACAACUCAUAUUUAAUUCAUGAAAGCCUGCACAAGAGUAAUUGUAAUAUAGAUUGUUAUAGAAAAUUUGACCAAAUUUAGACCGCAAGUUUAUGCCUCGUGUGCCAGCGGCAGUGAUUGUGUCAUGUGCUGUAAUUUGGGAUAAACAAAGAUAGAAUGGUGUAUGCCUA